AUGUGAGUGCAUGUGAUUUAUAUGGAUAAGCAUAUCCAUUUAUUUUAUGGUUUUAUCCAGCAAAGGAAUUUAACAUAAAAAGAAACUUCUAUGAGGUAAGCAAUCAGUCAAAGGAGUUUUAAACACAAGUGAAGGAAUGGGAACCAAGAAUUCGGAAGAAAAAUGAAUCCAUGAAUGAUGAUCUGUGAUGGUGAUGAUGUCAUAAUGGUGAUGAUGUCAUAAUGGUGAUGAUGUCAUAAUGGCGAUGGUGUCAUUCCACCUGACUUUUCAUCACCCUGUCCUCUCCACUUCUUAUGUUCAUCCACUGAAAUGUCCCCAGGGCCCAAGGCCAUGGUGAAGAGGAAACUUCCCAAGACAGACAUUGAAUGCAAAAAGUCAUAGUACAUGGAGUGGUGGAAAGCUCAGUGGUUCUCAACAGGUGCCAUCUUGCCUCCGGAGGACACCUGGCAAUAUCUGAAGACACUUGUGGUCGUGACAACUUGAGUUGGGAGGGGAGUGUUCAUGGCAUCUCAUGAGUACGGGUAAGAUACGCUGCUCAACUUCUGUGCUCAGAGACAUCUCCCUACUACAAAGAAUGAUCUGGCCCCAAAUGCCAAGGAUAAGCUCCAUCGGAGGCACGGGCAACCAAAACGGGCUCAGGUUGGACAGGACGCUUGACCACGAUGGGGAUGCCACGUGGGCUGAAGAAUCUGCCAGCAAAGGUGUUGUUUCAAAAGGACUCUACUCCGAUUGUAGACCUUAAGACCCUCAUUGCAGAGAGGGGCCCACCCAGACCCUGGAGUAUGCUGCACAACAGACCAGGAAGAAUCUGGACAGGCCUUGCUGGGCUUAGAUUAGGCGCUUUUGUCCCAUCACAUUCCUACGUGGUUGUCAAUCAUGCCUAUGUAAUAAAGCCUCCAUAACACCCCCAAAGGACAGGGUUUGGGGCACGUCCAGAUAGCUGAACGCCCAGGGAGGGCAUGGAAGCUCCACGCCCCUUCCCCUAUACCUCGCCCUACACAUCUCUGCAUAUGCAUCCUUUGUAACGCCCUUUAUAAUAAACCAGUAAACAUAAAAACCAGGCUGGCCAUGCGAGGAUAGAAUGAGAAGGUGGCCGUCUGUAACCCAAGGGGAGAGCCCUCACCAGACACCACCCCUGCCGCCACCUUGAACUUGGCCUUCCCAGCCUCCAGAACUGGGAGAAAAUAAAUUUCUCUUGCCUAAGCCACCUAGUCUGUGGCAUUUUGUUAUAGCAGCCAGAGCUGAUGACUAUAGGGUCCCAAAUCCCGGCUCCUUUGACUCUAGGUAGGACCAGCCCUGGGAUAUAAUUUAUGCCUCGGGACUACCUGCUGGAUCAAUCUGAGUUUGGGACUUCACCUGACAUUACGUCCUUAUUUGGCUUCUGCCAUUUCUCUGUCCUGCUUUCUGCACCCCCUUACCGGUUACUCAGGGAAAGCUUCGUAAUAAAUCCCUUGCACCUGAA